UGUGGUGGAUUCACAAUGAAAGCGUCAACGUGAGUUACGUCCUUACCUGAAAAGGUUUGGCAAUCGAAUGAAACGUUUUCUUGAAUGGAAUAGGGAAUUGCAAUUGUUUCCCUUGAACGAGGAAUUCCCAGUAAGCGUGAGUCAUUAGCUCGCGUUGAUUACGUCCCUGCCCUUUGUACACACCGCCCGUCGCUACUACCGAUUGGAUGAUUUAGUGAGGUGUUUUGACUGGCGCCAGUAGUCGGAUAUGUAUUCGGCUUCGCGCCGGGAAAUUUCCCAAACCAAAUCAUCUAGAGGAAGUAAAAGUCGUAACAAGGUUUCCGUAGGUGAACCUGCGGAAGGAUCAUUA
rnacentral:ncRNA from 1 species